UCAUAACCCGACCCAUAUAUUGAGAUUAUUAGGGUUCCGCGUUUUAGCACUAUAAAUACCCAAACGAGGAUUUUGUAUUCUCAGAUUCAGUUCUCUGCUGCGGAGGAAAAUUGCCACUGUUUCUUGAGAGCGUAGCGUUUAUCAAUCAUCCAACAUGAGAGCCAAGUGGAAGAAGAAGCGCAUGAGGAGGUUGAAGAGGAAGCGCCGAAAGAUGAGACAGAGAUCUAAGUAGGUGCAUGGGCAGGAGACUAGCUUUCCAUCUUGCUUGAUGGCUUCAUGACAUUUUAGCCAGUUCUGGUGUAAUGAUCUCGAGGUUUGAUUGAGAGGGGAAGUUUCUAUCGAGACAUAGUUUAGCUGUGUUGGUCUAAGACAAUCUUUUUUGAGUGUUUUGUAGUAUCAGUGCAUGUACUGGUUUGGUAUACUUACUGAUAUUUAUAUUUAUGUCUUAUAUAUAAGCAUUUUAAGACUUGCAUGAAAAUGUUAUCCUUCUAUUUAUGCUUCA